rnacentral:lncRNA from 1 species
CAGCUUUGGAUGUACAUGUAGGACAUUAGUCUAGGUUCUGGAAUUCAUUUGUCUCUCUCUCUUUUUCAGCUAUUUUUAACCUGGAUGUGUUCUGUGAUUUGUUUCCCACACAGCAUUGAAACUGGCACAGCUGAGGGGUUGGCGGAAAUGAAGUUGCACCAAGAAGUCCAAGAGCAAUCAGGAGAGACUUCAGGGCUUCAGGAUGGUUGCUUAAGGGGUCGGGAGCACAGCAGUUCCUGA